UUAGGCUGGGUACUGUAAAAGAUGGACAAAUUAGAUUUAUACCUUAAAACAAAUUAAAACAUAUUACAAGCGUAAUUAAUACGUUCUCCCCAAAACCUAAACCUGAAACCCAACCUAAAGCCCUAAAUAGUGUUAUUCUACAACCCUUCUCCCUCUCUCAAAACUCUCUGUUUCCAAGUUUUGUUUUCCACCAAUUUGUUCUCCAUCCACUUCAGUUGUUUAUUCCCAGUUUGUUUUCACUGCGUCCAUCCUUUUCUGUAAUUUUUUCAUCUUCUCCUUUCCUAUUCGUGGAUAUCUUAAACAUCAACCCAAAACCCCAAAUCAAAAUCAGCAGAAAUUCUAAAAUAUUCCAAUUCGAAAUAAAAAACUCCUAUUUCGACUUCUUCACUCCGAUGCCGACUCCGACACCUGACUCCUAUUUCUGCAAUGGUUGGAAAAAGUAGGUUAAAAAGCAAGAAUAUUGAUGAAGCACCAUCUUCAAAAGAAAAACAGGAUUUCUUCAACAUCUUAAGAACCCAAGGUUUGACAUCCCUUCUUGGCGUGUUCAUGGCUACCGAUGUUUACUACUGCUGGAGCACAAUUGUUUGAAGAGGUAGCAGAUUGGUCUCCGUUAGUUGAUAGAACUUAAAUGAGGAGCAAAGAGCCUGUUGGCAAUGUGAUUAAGUUUGAACCAUAUAAUGUAAAUAAUUGACAUUUAUGAAGUUCUUUUUGAUGAUUUUGCUAUUGUGAUUGGGAAUAUGUUUGAAAAUAACAUUGUUGAACUUGAGGAGAA